rnacentral:rRNA from 1 species
CCUACGGGGGGCUCCAGUGGGGAAUAUUGGACAAUGGGGGCAACCCUGAUCCAGCCAUGCCGCGUGUGUGAAGAAGGCCCUCGGGUUGUAAAGCACUUUCAGUGAGGAAGAACGCCUGGUGGUUAAUACCCAUCAGGAAAGACAUCACUCACAGAAGAAGCACCGGCUAACUCCGUGCCAGCAGCCGCGGUAAUACGGAGGGUGCGAGCGUUAAUCGGAAUUACUGGGCGUAAAGCGCGCGUAGGUGGCUUGAUAAGCCGGUUGUGAAAGCCCCGGGCUCAACCUGGGAACGGCAUCCGGAACUGUCAAGCUAGAGUGCAGGAGAGGAAGGUAGAAUUCCCGGUGUAGCGGUGAAAUGCGUAGAGAUCGGGAGGAAUACCAGUGGCGAAGGCGGCCUUCUGGACUGACACUGACACUGAGGUGCGAAAGCGUGGGUAGCAAACAGGAUUAGAUACCCUUGUAGUC